rnacentral:rRNA from 1 species
CCUACGGGUGGCUGCAGUCAAGAAUCAUUCACAAUGGGGGCAACUCUGAUGGUGCGAAGCCGCGUGGGGGAAUGAAGGUCUUUGGAUUGUAAACCCCUGUCAUGUGGGAGCAAAUUAAAAAGAUAGUACCACAAGAGGAAGAGACGGCUAACUCUGUGCCAGCAGCCGCGGGAAUACAGAGGUCUCAAGCGUUGUUCGGAAUCACUGGGCGUAAAGUGUGCGGAGGCUGUUUCGUAAGUCGUGUGUGAAAGGCGCGGGCUCAACCCGCGGACGGCACAUGAUACUGCGAGACUAGAGUAAUGGAGUGGGAACCGGAAUGCUCGGUGUAGCAGUGAAAGGCGUAGAUAUCGAGAGGAACACUCGUGGCGAAGGCGGGUUCCUGGACAUUAACUGACGCUGAGGCACGAAGGCCAGGGGAGCGAAAGGGAUUAGAUACCCCUGUAGUC